rnacentral:tRNA from 1 species
AGCUCCGUAGCUUGGAGGAAAGAAGCGCCCGUCUAGCGAAUUGGGAGUCGUGGGUUCGAUUCCUAUCGGAGCAU